GACGAACGCUGGCGGCGUGCUUAACACAUGCAAGUCGAGCGGUAAGGCCCUUUCGGGGGUACACGAGCGGCGAACGGGUGAGUAACACGUGGGUGACCUGCCCUCAGCUUUGGGAUAAGCCCGGGAAACUGGGUCUAAUACUGGAUAUGACUCCAUGACGCAUGUUGUGGGGUGGAAAGCCUUGUGCGGCUGGGGAUGGGCCCGCGGCCUAUCAGCUUGUUGGUGGGGUGACGGCCUACCAAGGCGACGACGGGUAGCCGGCCUGAGAGGGCGACCGGCCACACUGGGACUGAGACACGGCCCAGACUCCUACGGGAGGCAGCAGGUGGGGAAUCUUGCGCAAUGGGCGAAAGCCUGACGCAGCGACGCUGCGUGA
rnacentral:rRNA from 1 species